rnacentral:rRNA from 1 species
UACGGAGGGUGCGGGCGUGUCCGGAAUCAUUGGGCGUAAAGGGCGCGUAGGUGGCGGGACAAGCGUGCGGUGAAAGCUCGGGGCUCAACCCCGCGUCGGCCGUGCGAACUGUUUUGCUUGAGCACUGUAGAGGCAGGCGGAAUUCCGGGUGUAGCGGUGGAAUGCGUAGAGAUCCGGAAGAACACCGGUGGCGAAGGCGGCCUGCUGGGCAGUAGCUGACACUGAGGCGCGACAGCGUGGGGAGCAAACAGG